GGGAAGUGAGGAUUGGGUUUGAACUUGCUAACGGUGCAUGAUGGCUGUUUGCCCAACAAUUUUGUUACGACAAUAGAACAGCCGUGGCAUUAUCUGAUCCC